AGUAAUGUAUGGGGAUCUGCCUGAUGGCGGGGGAUAACUACUGGAAACGGUAGCUAAUACCGCAUAAUGUCUGCGGACCAAAGAGGGGGACCUUCGGGCCUCUUGCCAUCGGAUGUGCCCAGAUGGGAUUAGCUAGUAGGUGGGGUAACGGCUCACCUAGGCGACGAUCCCUAGCUGGUCUGAGAGGAUGACCAGCCACACUGGAACUGAGACACGGUCCAG
rnacentral:rRNA from 1 species